rnacentral:misc_RNA from 1 species
AACAAGGCGUACCUGCGGACCUGCGGAGGGAUCAUUACAGGUGACCCCGGUUUACCACCGGGAUGUUCAUAACCCUUUGUUGUCCGACUCUGUUGCCUCCGGGGCGACCCUGCCUUCGGGCGGGGGCUCCGGGUGGACACUUCAAACUCUUGCGUAACUUUGCAGUCUGAGUAAACUUAAUUAAUAAAUUAAAACUUUUAACAACGGAUCU